CUCUCUCCCCACAGAGAUUCCCCUGGGACCAGUGAGCUCUCGUAAGAGCAGAUUCUCAAUAAACCUGCCUUUAAUAUAAUCUAAUCUGGCUUGGAUCAGCUCAUUUUACUGGCAGAGAACCUAUCAAUAAACAAAUGUCAGAAUGAGUCAGUUGGCUUGAUCCUUUCCUGAAAACCUCAGAGAGAACACAACAGUCUUCUUACUUGCCAGGCUAGAACCCUAAUUAAACUCACUACAGCACUAAGUCCAAAGAGAAUGGAAAUUCAGAAUUUAAAGAAUGAGGGAAUGCAUUAUUUAUAACUUGAGAAGCCAAAAUAGUAAAUUCUUCUCUAAAAUUUUAAAGAUUGGAAAGUUCCCAUUCUUAUCUAGGAGGUAUUAAUAGUUGAUCAGGAUUUUUAUAAAGAUGGCCUGUAUGUAUUUUUAAAUUUUUAGAAACCGACCUCGUCAGACCACUAAGAUAGUAAUUUCACACUCCACAUGACUGUAACUGAAUGAAAGAUUGGUUAAAUGCCCAUUUUACUAAUUUCUAAUUACUAAGAUCUUUAAGGCUCAAAAAUUCCUGAGACCUAGGCCUGGGGAAGAGGGGAGAUGCAAUCAUUGAUUUACCUUGACUUAGUUCGACACACUGUUUUUCAUUCCACAGAUAGGUAUUCUCAUCUUGUAUUUAUAUGUUCUUAAGUUCUCAUCUUAUAUUCACAUUUUUUUUCCUGUUCUGGCCAUAGAUUGGUCAAUUUAAAUAAAUUCUAGUGCUAAAACCCAAAGAGAUAACUUUUGUCCUGGUCUGGCUUCUCCAACUGCAGUCUAGGAGGCUGGAUUGCAAGGUAAACACACACGUAAAAAGCGCACACAAUCUGUAAAGUAAGGGUCUCCUAGAAGGUAGAUUGACUGGUUGACAUGACAGUCCAUUAGGCUGUGUGUGCUGUAACCCCAACACUAGAGAAGCUGAAGCAGGAUAAUUUUGAUCUCUAUGAUAGUACAGGUUAAAAUGAAAGGCUUUUUUUUUUUAAUUUGGUUUUUCGAGACAGGGUUUCUCUGUGCAGCCCUGGCUGUCCUGGAACUCACUCUGUAGACCAGGCUGGCCUUGAUCUCAGAAAUCCGCCUGCCUCUACCUCCCAAGUGCUGGGAUUAAAGGUGUGUGCCACCACACCCAGCGAAAGGCUUUUUUAAUAGCCUGGAAAGCAGUAACAAUAACAGCAGCCACAAAAGGAAGAUGCCAUUGCUGUUGCUGUCGAUUGUUGCAGCUUAUUUCUCUUUCCUUCUUGCUUUUGUUUUGUUCAUGACAUUUUUUAUCAGACACAUAAUCACUGACACUAACCUUGCUGAUCUUGUCUAUCCCUGGUCUAUGCUGACCUUGACCUAUUCUCGAUUUUGACGGGAUAGUGUUAUUACAUUAGUGUGCAUCAUACUAGUUUCCUUUACCUUUUUGUGAAAUAGAUCAUAUUCUAACUCAUCUGCAAUGUACCAAUAGACAAACACUAGGAGAGCCUGUCAUGUUGUCCACAUGAUGUGUCAAGAAGAAUGUGAUAUACUAAAUUAUAUGUCUGAGAAAGAUUGAGAAGCCAGUAACAUACUCUUUUAGCUCCUGUAUUGCUUGGGCCAAGAUGAGGAUUCUGUUUUUAGUUCCUGUGCAUGUCAUCACAUGCUCCCAUCUCUUUUUCUACUUUUGCCAUCCUUAGGAAAAAUGCAUUUGAGAGAUGGGAGUAGGUGGGAGAUGGUGUUUGGGUCACGUUAGAGGUUGUUAUGAGUAGCUACAUAGCCAUACCACGAAGAUUAAGUAUUCAGCUCUACUCCUCUGCAACAUCUUGAUACUGAAAUUAUGAAAAUUUAUCCAUUCUUCAACCCUAAGCCAUUAGAAGAGGAAGAAUAACUGGACUCAAGAGCCUUUCAUCUCUCAAGUAUAAAUGGAGUUAGGGCUACGGAGAACAACAGCUUUUUAUUUUCAUGGUAUUUCUACAAAACAUUUCUUUUCUCCUUUAAAGGUAACUGAUAUAAAAUAAUUUUCUCUGUUGAUGAGUGGGGGAUAGGUAAUGAGAAUGGAAAAACUCUCAUGGCACACGUGCAAUGUUAUCACACUGAAUGUCAAGUCUGUGAGUAGAUUCCACUCACCCAGGGUAGCCUUGACCACGGCUUAGUAGUACAUGGCACUAUGUGGCUCUUCUAUAUGAUAACUCCAGUUCAGAAAGCAGAGGUGAUUAUACAUACUGGGAUUUUGUUGGUUUCAUUUUUGCUUUUGUUGUUGUCUCAAAAGUCAUGGAAGACAGCAUUUUGGAAGUGUUUCUAACAAGCAUGAUCAAGAAGAAUGCAGGUGGGCAUUUAGUUUACAUAUAGUUUCCAGUUGUUGGUAGCAUCUUGUUGGGUAAAAUACACACUCCUACCGUUUCAAUGGCAGGUGGCUCUAACUUCACCACAUUUUGAUUUACAUGAAAGGCUUUCCCAGAAUCAGAUGAGACAGAGAAUAUAUUUUGUAUUUAGACAUAAAGCCUAGGAGGAGAAUGGAAGAAAAAAAAUCAAUAUUUGGUAAUAGAACUCUUGGGCUGAUUAUUAAAUAAAACUGGGGGAAAUGUCAUAAAACUACAUCACUAGAUUGUAAAGCUUCCGAUGAAAAAUGUCCAAUGCCAUCAAAACAGGCUGCAACAUAUCCUUCUCUGAAGUCUUCCUGAAACAACAACUUGCUCUUUUUUUUCUUAGAGUUUUCCAAGAAAACUCUACUGGUCCUAGAAAUUAUGAUAUUUAAGCCAUUCUUUGUAAAACCUAAACAUGAAUACUGAAGUUUUUUUUCUUUAAGUCUUUAAAUAUCAGUAUAGAGGUAUGAAUGACAUGUCCUAACACAGUGAAUUUAGUUCCUUUUAGCAUAUUGAUAGUUUUAGCAUGUAAUAUUACUGCAUUUGGGUCACUUUAAAAAGAACCUUGUACCAGAUCCCAGCUCCUCAUUUUCUCCUUACCCCAUUGCCUGAAAAUCUUAAAUCUAUUUUCAUAAAUAGGUUUACCCAUUGCAGGAUUUUAUUAUUCUUUGAAUUGUGUGAUAUGGGACUCAGUUCAUAUGGGCUGUUACAAAAUAUAAAUGUUAUGCCUUAUAAGCUAAAUGAAGUAACUUCUCACCAUUCUAGGGACUGGGAAGUCGAAGAUCAAGACACCAAGAUCUGGUGCCAAGGCCUUUGCUUCCUCCCUUACAAAUGGACUCUCUCUACAGGUCAAAAAGGACUGAGGUCUUGAGACUCUCUUGCACGGUCCCCACCACCUAAUCAUAGUCAAAUAACAUUUCAAAUGGUAAAUUUGGCAAGUGUUCUAGUUUGCUUUCUAUUGUUGUGGCAAACACUAUGACUUUAAAAAUUAAUUGAGAGGAAAGGGUUUAUUUGAUUUGUACAUUAUAGUCUAUCACCAAGAGAAGUUAAGGCAAGAACUCAAGAUAGGAAGCUAGAGGCAGGAACUGAAGCAGAGACCAUGAAGGGGUGCUGCUCAUUGGCUUGCUCCUCACGGCUUGCUCAGCCUGCUUUCCUAUGGCACUCAGGACCACCAGUCCAGGGUUGGUCCUAUCCACAAUAGGGUGGUUGUGCUCACAUCAAUCACCAAUCAAGAAAGUGCCACUAUGGAUUUGCUAACAGGACAAUUGAUGGAGGAAUUAAUCCAUUGUGGAUUUUUCCUCUUAGAUGACUAUUAUUUCUGUCAAAUUGAUAAAACUAACAAACAGGUGGUAAAGCAAUUCCAAUUCAGACCAAUUCUUUAUGUCAGACUUCUUCCAAUAAAUGCUUUAUAUUCAAUUUUAUUAAUGUAUCAGCACUCAGCUACUUUUCAUGGCUAAAUGAUAUCUCUACCUGACUACAUUUUAUUUGUUUAUUCACUCAAUACUUGGUAGGAAUUUAUGUUGCCUGAUCUUUGGCUGCUAUGAGCAAUGGUAUACAAGUUGUAGUGUGCAUGUGUGUUUGUGUUUUAAGUUCAUUGGGGAAUAUUCCCAGGACUGGAAUUGCUGAGUGAUAUGGUAGAUGUGUACUUAACAUUUUAGGAAUGGUACAUCUGUUUUUCCAAAUGACUCUAUCAGUUUUCAUUCCAUGUGAUGGUAAGUCUUUAAUUCUCAAUUGCUGCAACCUGAGAAGAAAGCCUCAGGUGAGAAAUUGUGCAGUGCUGGUUAUAUAUUUUAAAAUGUUUAUUUAAACACUUUGCUGAUUUCAAAAAUUAUUUUUUAAAUGCAUAGUAUAACUAUAACAUCUGUAUUCAUAAAUCAAGAGACAUGAUUUGCAAAUGUUCUCUCUGAUUCCAUUUCACUCUCUUGGUGGUGUCUGUUAAAACACGGAGGUUUUAAAUUUUGAUGAAAUUUAUUUUAUUUCUUUCUUGUCUCUGACUUUUAGUGGUGCAUCUAAGAAAACAUGGCCUAGUUGAAGGCCACAAAAAUUUUACUCCCAGAAUAAAUUUUCUGUCUAGGAGGUUCAGUUCCAGCUCUGACAUCUAGCCUAUGGUCUGUUUUGAGUGACAGUUUCCUUUGGGUGAGAUAUCAAUUCAACAUCAUUCCUUUACCUGAGAAUAUCAAGCUGUCCCAGCAUCGUUUGUUGAAAAGAUUACUCUUCUUCUCAGAAUGAGUUGGCACCUUUGCUGAAAAUCAGUUACCAGUGACAAUGCAUCUUCUGGAGACAUGUAUCAGAACAGUAUCUGCAGCAUCCCUUCUCUUUCACUACAUAUUGAACUGCUCCCCACGGAUCUUCACAUGCCCCUUGCCGCUUACAUCCUCCCUGGCAUUGGUUUUUGUUGACUUCUUCAUUUUUACCAUUCUGACUCUGGUGCUCACUGCCAACAGGACUUGGAACUUGCUUAUCUCAGACCCCAUUUAUCCUCCUCCUAGACUGGCAGGCAGCUGAAUCUGAUGGCAUGGAGGGAAGAGGUGGACUGUGAACCCUAUCAGUUCCAGACCUCUCCCAGUCCUUCCCAAGCUGGUGUAUCAGAGGCCAAGGCAUCUGGACGCUCUGAGAGGAGAGAUGAAACCCAGAACCACACGUCAUGAACACGAGCAAAGCGAUGAGUAGAUCUAGAGUUGCUUCGCUUCUUCGUGACAUAAUAUCACACAUGGAAGAAAUCAAUGGCUAAACGAAUGAAAAACAAAGCUGUGCUGUUGUUAUUCUUGUGCCUUCUGAGCCACUUGGGAAAGGGGCUACUAGGACAAGGUGAGGAAAGAGUCACCAACAACUCAGAUCAAGCCAUGAGCAGAGCAGCGAGUCUCAAGCCUGUAGGGACCUUCUCAUCAUGCCAGCCUGGCCGCACCUGCCUCAGGUGAGCCCUCAAUCUCAACCUCCAAUAGGUGAUCUCCUGAGCUUUCUCAUUGAGUGCAAAAGCC